GUAAUGAUUUUUUUCUUUUUCCCCAUUUGCUCUGGAUGUGUUGUUAAAAUGCCUGAAUGGAAGGGAAAGUGACUUUGUUUGCGAGAGAAAGGAUGAGAGAUGUGCUAAAAAGUUAACAUCUCGGAUAUUUCAAACAUAAAUGUUCCGUUAAAUCCUUUUAUGUUUCAAAUAAAGGAGCAACACCAAGAAUAAACGGCUCUGGGUGUUAUUUUUUAAUGGCCACUAGAGGGCGGUAACGCAGCAAAAGAAAGAAAAAUCAACGAAGUGUCUGAAGUUUACUCAGGCAUGAAUAUAUUAAUAUAAGUAUCACUAGUUACACCCAGACUGAUGUUCUCAAGCCUUUAUUUGUGUUACUUAUGAUUUUUCACUUGUAGCCAAACAUAGUUAGCAAAUAGAUUAAUUUCAGUAACUUUUUGGAAAAAUAUGUUUUUAGGAAUAGCUCAGUUUUGCUUCACUUUUUAAUAUUUUGAAGAAUUGCUACUCUCAUUUGAGUCAAAUUUCUAGUUACCCACUGCGAGUAACUUCUCAUGACGAAGAAAAAACACACCAGAAACACACAUUAUGUUACAGAGGGACCUCUUGUUAAUACAUUUAAACAUUAUGUGAAUAUACAGUAAACAUUAUAUUCUGUUCUUCCCGUUUGCAGGAAGUUCUUUAGCCUGUUCUAACAUGCAUGCAAGUAUUGGUUUAAAAGGUUUUAUGAAGAAAUUAAAUUUGUAGUUUUCAAAAUGUUAGUCUUUAAAAUACUAGAAUUUGUACAUUUUUAAAUCAAAUUUGAUCAGUUAUUCAUCACUUGGGUAGUCUACCAAUAAAAAGGCAUAUUAUGGCCAUCUCAGAGAAAAACAAUAAAACAAGGAAAGUUUCAAAAGUAAAAUUUUUUAGAUUGUCAUCAUUAAAGUUGGAAAGUUUUUAUUAAAAAAAGUUGAAAACAUUUGACUUUUGAAAGUCAGAAAUGUUCACAUUUUUUCCUCUCAAAUUUUUUUUUUGAGAUUUUUGGCAGCAAUGUACCACUAUUAUACCUACAGCGGCCCUAAAGGCGCUCCUUACAAAUGACGUCAUUGUUACCCGAACGGCACAAACAGAACGGCGACAUCUGAACAUUGGAAGAUGAGGAUGUCCAGGGAGCUUCUUUUCAAUAUUCGUCGAUACAGAAGCAAAGUGUGAGGAAACUAAAACGGUGGUUGAAAUGCAGAGGACUCAAAGUGAGCGGAAAGAAGGCAGCGCUGGUUUGAAAGAGAGACGGGGAACCAGUCUGAGGAGGUAGAAGAAGAACUUAAAUGUGAAAAUGUGACUAAAACCAUGGAGGUUCUUAAAGCUGACACAACCAACAAGAAUUCUGCAAGUGGUUCCCAUAUGCCUUCCUGGUUCUGAAACAGACAGCCGAGGCGACGAGUGGGUUUGGUCCCGGAGGAGCAAAAGGAACGGAGUGAGUCAUUCUGACAAAGAUCUUUCUGGUGAUUAGAAGAGACGCAGCUGAAGCUCCAAACUGAGCCUCCCAAAAAUAAAAGGAUGUUCCUCACAGUUAGAGGUGUGGACUAAAAACAGCUGGACACGGACAAACGAGGUGAUGUAAUGUUGACACAGGGAUCGUCCCUGAAAUACAGAGACAGAUCCAGUCAGCUGGUCCCAAUGGAACAACUGGGAGACGCCCAGUAGCUGCGUUUCUUUUGACCUUAAAAUUGAGCAAUUUGACAUUUUGAAAAUAAAUUUGCUUAAUGGAAA